AGUGAACGCUGGCGGUAGGCCUAACACAUGCAAGUCGAACGGCAGCACAGUAAGAGCUUGCUCUUACGGGUGGCGAGUGGCGGACGGGUGAGGAAUACAUCGGCAUCUACUUUUUCGUGGGGGAUAACGUAGGGAAACUUACGCUACUACCGCAUACGACCUACGGGUGAAAGCAGGGGAUCUUCGGACCUUGCGCGAUUGAAUGAGCCGAUGUCGGAUUAGCUAGUUGGCGGGGUAAAGGCCCACCAAGGCGACGAUCCGUAGCUGGUCUGAGAGGAUGAUCAGCCACACUGGAACUGAGACACGGUCCAGACUCCUACGGGAGGCAGCAGUGGGGAAUAUUGGACAAUGGGCGCAAGCCUGAUCCAGCCAUACCGCGUGGGUGAAGAAGGCCUUCGGGUUGUAAAGCCCUUUUGUUGGGAAAGAAAAGCAGCAGGUUAAUACCCCGCUGUUCUGACGGUACCCAAAGAAUAAGCACCGGCUAACUUCGUG
rnacentral:rRNA from 1 species